UGGGUAGUUUAACCUUCGGGAGGACGCUCACCACUUUGUGGUUCAUGACUGGGGUGAAGUCGUAACAAGGUAGCGCUAGGGGAACCUGGCGCUGGAUCACCUCCUUAUACGAUGAU
rnacentral:rRNA from 1 species